rnacentral:rRNA from 1 species
UCCGUGCCAGCAGCCGCGGUAAUACGGGAGAUGCGAGCGUUAUCCGGAAUCACUGGGCGUAAAGCGUCUGCAGGUUGUUUAGUAAGUCUGCCGUUAAAGACUGAAGCUUAACUUCAGGAGUGCAGCAGAAACUGCUAGACUUGAGUAUGGUAGGGGUAGGAGGAAUUUCUAGUGUAGCGGUGAAAUGCGUAGAUAUUAGGAAGAACACCAUUAGCGAAGGCGUCCUACUGGGCCAUUACUGACACUCAGAGACGAAAGCUAGGGUAGCAAACGGGAUUAGAUACCCCGGUAGUCCUAGCCGUAAACGAUGGAUACUAGAUGUUGCGGGUUUACCUGCGGUGUCGUAGCUAACGCGUUAAGUAUCCCGCCUGGGGAGUACGCACGCAAGUGUGAAACUCAAAGGAAUUGACGGGGGCCCGCACAAGCGGUGGAGCAUGUGGUUUAAUUCGAUGCAACGCGAAGAACCUUACCAGGAUUUGACAUACUCGGAAUUUCUUAUAAUAGAGAAAGUGCCUUCGGGAGCCGAGAUACAGGUGGUGCAUGGCUGUCGUCAGCUCGUGUCGUGAGAUGUUGGGUUAAGUCCCGCAACGAGCGCAACCCUUGUCUUUAUUUGCCAUUCUUAAGUGGGGGACUAUAGAGAUACUGCCCGUGAAAAGCGGGAGGAAGGUAAGGAUGACGUCAAGUCAGCAUGCCCCUUAUAUCCUGGGCUACACACGUGCUACAAUGACUAAGACAAUGAGAAGCAAGCUUGCGAAAGUUAGCAAAUCUCCGAAACUUAGUCCAAGUUCGGAUUGCAGGCUGC